CCCUUAGAUGUUCUGGGCUGCACGCGCGCUACACUGAUGCACUCAACGAGUUUACGACCUUGCCCGAUAGGGUUGGGUAAUCUUUUUAAAAUGCAUCGUGAUGGGGAUAGAUUAUUGCAAUUAUUAAUCUUCAACGAGGAAUUCCUAGUAAGCGCGAGUCAUCAGCUCGUGCUGAUUACGUCCCUGCCCUUUGUACACACCGCCCGUCGCUCCUACUGAUUGAGUGCUCAGGUGAAUAAUUCGGACUGCAGCAAUGUUUGGAUCCCGAACGUUGCAGCGGAAAGUUUAGUGAACCUUAUCACUUAGAGGAAGGAGAAGUCGUAACA
rnacentral:rRNA from 1 species